GGGGGCAGCGGAGCGAGAUGUCUUGUGGGCUGCGGGUUGGGGUUCGGGAGAGGGGCGAGGAGAGGAGAGGAGAGGGGUGGCGGUGGUGGUGGUGAGGCCACACUCGAUCGGGCCGCGUGCUAGGAGCCGAGAGAGCGCCUCUCCUGCCCACGGGCUUUGGGACCGGGCUAGGGCAUCUUGGGGAUCUGCGCCUCCGCCUCUGCCGCCUCCUCUGAUGCCUGUGCCAGUCGAGCGCUUGGGCGAGGUUACCGGAGUCGAGUCCUUUUCCGCCGCGAGACGACGCCCCCGGGGCGCGCGCUACGGGAGUCCCGCCGCUAGCGGCGCGGCCCCUUCCGCCAGAGGUACAGGCGCCGGCCGCCACCGCCACUCGCGCAGCAGAGGCGACGGCCCCCGCCGCGGCACUACCUGCUGUAGCGCAGGCGCCGGGUCGGGUGAUGGCGGUUCCGGAGGAGAUUUCCCUAUGGGUAUUACUGCUCUCGAGUUUCUAAGGUGGGAAACCUGGGUAAUAGACGACGGCUUUAACGUCACCGACAACGUUGACAUUCUCGGCGACCUUUUAGAGGACUCCUUGCACUGUCGUACGCAAAACAACUUCGACACGAUGACCUUGGUCUUUUCUUACAACAUCGUAAUCGGCUACGGAUGAAAAAGGGCGGCAAGGUUGGUAGUGACGAGGGAUCUUGGUUUCCGAGACGGCAGUAAGGCUCGUCCAACGGAGGGUCCUCCCGAUUCGAACAACAGAUGUUAUCUGUAAGUUUACUCUGAUGGUAAACCUAUCAUCUUGAUAGGCUUCACGUACGUCGAUGAUCUCCACCUGUAGUGUCUCCCUUCCACUAUAGUAGCCUUCAACAAGGUCUACAUGUCGGACGUUACCUACGAUACCUUAUACGACUCACACUUCGAUGACAGUUUUUAAUAGGAGGUAAACAACUUCGAUACUUCUUUUCUCCACACCUGCUAUACCUUGAACAGUACCAUCUACGGACCACACGACCGAUGAUGUCACUACGACUACGAGGGUCAGCGUCUGAACGGUCCGGAGAUUAGAAAACGGCUUGACUCUCACUAUCAGGGUACCUCUUACCAAUACGAGCAGGACAGCUUCCCUAGGUACAACAACAACUAUACGUCUUAUUAUAACAGUAUCUCAAACUUCUGUCCUUCAAACAAGGAGACGGGGGUGGUCUAGUAAACUCUUUGAUGUGAGGACCUCUUUGAUCUCCACCACAACUAGCUUCACUACACUUUGGAGAAUAAUAGUUAGUCGGACUCCCGGGUUCGAAGGCAUAAUUACCGAUAAAACACCUUACCGUCUUCACCUUAAAGGCAUAACCGAAGUGGGGAUUUCUCCCAAACCAGUAGAUGAGACAACGUAUACAACUACCAUCGGCACCUGCAUCUGGAUAUCGAGUAUCCGACUCGAAACAACUCUACCAACAAGGAAUACCUCUAGGUUCACUUGGUGUAAUAGCGUUCUUACGAAAGCUACGACCUCUUCUACCUGAACCGUUUUUACGAGUAAGAGAAUUCUUCCCCACACUGACGAACCCAAUGUAGUUCAUAAAACUACGUGUGAAGUGCUUGAAAUGGCCAGUACACCUCUGUUAACUCUUGACACACACAGACGUGCUCCUCCUGGUACCUUAGGAAACCUUUGUGGUUCUAACCUCUUGACCAAAUCGUCUUCAAUCCGCUAGUUCCUCCGAGUGCCACAGUAAAUAGACGUGUCAACGGUUAAUACUUAUACCAAAAAUGACCGUGAAAAUAGUCCUACCAUUCUAUCUUCGACUUCAUUUUGAAUGACCUUAAGACUCAAACCCUCGAGACUACGGACCCCUUAGUUCCUUUAUACCAUGUUGAUAACGAGGAUCAGACAUACGUGGACAGGUGGUCGUAAAGAAACAACGGGCAUACCUGUACCGACAACUAACGUUUGGAUUGCUUCGAGUAUUAGUCCACCAACUUCAUUUACAGUUUCAGCUUUCACGUCCGUGUUUAUUACACGUGUUGUUACGAAAGAUACGACUUCUUUUUUAUGACUUUAGGCUCAACGUUCGUUACUCUCUAACACUGGGAAGUAGACGCGCUGUAACCUAACAAUCCUUGUGUUCCCGACAUUUAGCAUGGCCUGUUGGUUGACCAAAGUCUGAGCACGGACCAAGUUUGACAAACGGUAAACGAGACGGACUCCGUUUCAAAGAAGCUUCUCGGCCCAAGAAUUUCGUGUUAGAAACCCACUGUGGUAUGUUCUCGCUACUCUUCAAAGGACCUCCCCUCAAGGGGUUGGUCUUAGGUGCAGAAGUACUCCCAAAUCGAUGAACCCACUUCUUCCUAUCUGGGAACCUCCUUUGACUGUAGCAGGAGACCAUACAUAAACCCGAGUGGGUGUAGGGUUCCGACCUUCUGACCGGCCAGUACGGCCACCUUGUGUAGCCGAAGUACGAGUACGGUGUACCUAAGAAGUUGACGAGCGGACGACAGCUACACGGAGGACCGUGAAGACUACGGCGGCUACAGUUCCUUCGUCUCAGCGGAUUCCGGUAGGUCUUGCCCCGGGAACAAAGGUUCGAGAUUCGAACCGUCGAGAGGAGUUUUCUUGUUUGACCGUUAUUUUCAACAAUAGAGCACCAGACAAAGCAAAAGACAUUAUACAAACAAACGACGUGACUAACUAACACUUACAACUCGACGUGUUCAUCGUAGAUUAUUAGAGACCUGACCGUAUUACGGACGUAUUUAUUUUCACACAACAAUACGGAAGAGAACCCCGGUUACUAAUAAUACAAAAAAAAUUUUCC
rnacentral:rRNA from 1 species